GCACUGCUGAGGAGCCCCACAAUAGGGUAAAACGGCCGUCCAGUGC
rfam:Schistosoma mansoni strain Puerto Rico chromosome 5, complete genome